GCAAUGUAAUAAGUAUAUUCCAAUAAUAAUUAGUGUGCCACAUAAAUAUUACUUCUCUCCAUUUUAUAGUUAUUUAUAAGUACAAUAUUUCUUCCCUCUCACAAUCGAGUCAUAAGUAGCAACUAACAACAUUAGUGAAACGUUAUAAUUGGCAAUCAUAACUGUUUCGUAAAAAUUCUGUAACGUUUCUAAUUAUUCAUGCCCAUUAACUGAAGGUUAACAAAUCUGUACUUUUUUCUGUCUUGGUUCAUUCCGUCGGUAUCUCUUCAAAUUAUGCAGAGACCUGAGCAACCGUUUCUUCUUGUCUCUUAAAUGUCUUGCUCGUACCUAUUAAGACUCGCAUCUCUUUAAGUACUCUCCUCCAGGUGUUACUUUCCUAAUGAUCCACAUGUCUUUCUACAUCAGCUACAUAAUUAAUUCCAAGUGUAAUAUUGAUUUUCUCCAAUACAUAUAGUCCCCCGCUUGCCAAUUAUUUAGCAAUUGAAUAUUUGAAAAGUGGAUCUCAUUAAACCGGAAAUUGUUUCGACGUUUCCCUCAUAUCAUUAUGCCUUCUUCUGAACUGACGCAUCGUAUGUCACUUCCAUUUAAUGCAUGUGAUAUGUGGUGUCCUCAAUUGGUUCUGCAACUCCUUAGUGCUUUUAGGGAUUUUUUACGGCUGCAUCAAUCACAAAGUGACAGUUUUCAUAAUGACGUUUCCAUCAUUAUCUUUUUAUUUGACGGUUGCUUCUGAGUGUAAAUAUAUCCCCUGUCUUUACUUUCAUGAAAAAGUUUUCCACUUCUUGCCAUUCAAUUCUUUCUACUUCUUCAUAUAACUAUGUCUUCUUUAUAAAUAAAAACUGAAAUAGUAAGAGUAGCCAGGUCUUGCAAACGUCAAGCAUCUACCUCAACAACUCUGAUAAGCUCUGGAGACAACGAAUGCUCAGCUAAGCCUCAGGUGUACCUGAAUCUGCUCACAAGGUGCAGUGGUAGGGGUGAGUACUACCGACCCAGUGAGAAAUAAGCAUAUAAAAUGUCUGAAGAUAAGAAAUCCACGAAAUGCCACAAAGUAAAGCUAAAACUAACAGUCUGACAACUUAACUACAAACUAACAGCAAAAUAUAUCAAGUAUAUCAGUCAAGUAUAAUGCAAGAAUGCAAUGCACAUGAUCCGCUGCGGUGUACAGCCUGAUCCAUUUAACGUCGAUGAAGCUCACUGGGGGUGUGUACAGACUCCGGAGGGGCUCCUACAGCCCAAGCGCAUUAUCAUCAUAUCAUUAGUGCGGUGUGCAUCCCAAUCCAUACUAAUUCCACAGUAUGUAUAUGAGUCACAUAACAGAUUCAAUUAAUUUCCUAAUUUCCAAUUAUUAAGAAGAAUAUACUUUAGUUAUUUAAUUUUCAGGAAAAGUGACUUAACAUUUCAUUACAAUGGUUAAACACAGGAAUGAGAUCAAUGAUUAUACAAAUCAUGUUAUCACAAUGAUAUUCAUCCUAGACGGAUGCUAUAGAUCGGCAAAUGGCCCCAAACAUGGCAAUAAGCCUAGAUAGAUUCAAUAGAGGGUGCGUAGCAGUCGCAAUAUAGUUAAAUUUUUGUUCGGGAUGGACCAAGUCACAAUUCCCAGUCAUAACCAAUCCCGCACCUGCCAUGGAGUGCGAGUCAUGCCCUAAUAUAGCGUCACAAUGUGAUAAACCGGGGUUUCAAACCCCUCAGACCGUCAUCUAUACAAACUACUCACCUUUAACAGGUCGUAGACUGGUGUGCAAUGCCUUUUCCUCUUGAAUCUCCCUCUACGUGCGUCGAAUCUAGUCAAAACAACAACGAAUACAUAAAUAUGGGCUAAAGAAACAUAAACCAAUCAAAAAUACUCGAAAAGUACUAAAAUUCACGAAGUUGGUAAAACCCGAGCCCCGAGCGCACUUCUCGAAAAUGCCAUUGAGUAUGAGUCACGCCCUAAUGUAGCAUCACAAUGUGAUAAACCGGGAUUUGAAACCACAUCAAUGAAUUCCUCGUCUGGCCAUGAGUCCGUACACAUAAAGUUUGUCGAAAAUGGAGCUCAAAUGCCCCUUCAAUUUCAAAAAUUUCGUUUUCAAAAGCCAACCCCUAGUUCUUCACAAUUUCAACCUAUUUUCAUGGAUUUGAGGGUUGAUUCUUCAUAAAAAUGGUGUUUCUAAGUCAAGAGACUUACCUCCAAUCACUACCCGUUGAAAACCUUCUUCAUAUCGCUCAAAAAUCUCUCUUGGUGGAGUAAAUAUGUUGGAAAUAUUAAGUGGGUCGCGGAUGAAUUAACCCAUAAAACAUUCUGUCCGCCCAGAUAUUCCUCUAUGCGAUCACAUCCACCCCAUUGAAAUUGCAUAGGCCAACGUCCGAACCCUCUAAAAUUCUUCUUAUGCGAUCGCAUUACAAGCUCUGCGAUCGCGAGGCACAAUCUGCUCCUUCUAAGCGAUUGCAUAACCUUUCCUGCGUUCACAUAGAACAAUAGUUGCCAGGGGACCCAGGUCCAAAUUGCACAACGCGAUCGUAUCACCCCGAGUGCGAAUGCAAUGAACAAAGUCCCACACAUAUGAGAUCGCACAGCCUCUCACGUGAUAGCAUAGGGAAGAUCCAUGGACCCUCCUAAACCUUCUAUGCGAUCGCAGACAUGCCUACGCGAUCGCAUAUAGUAAGUUCUCUGCUGCAUUUUUCUACUGCAUUUUCUUAUUCAAAAUUCCCCGUUAGCCAUCCGAAAUCACCCCGAGGCCCUAGGGACCUCAACCAAAAGCACAGAUACGUUAUAAUACUUCAUUCGAACUUGCUCGUAGCACAAAAACACUAUCAUAAAUAUCAAAAUCAUCAAAUUACCUAGGAUUCAAGCCUAAGUCAAACUAACACUUUCAAAACUUGCAUUUGAUCUAAAACCCGACCUAAACACCUUCAAAUGACCUGAAACUUUGCACGCAUAUGCAAAAUUACCUAAAGGAGCUACUGCAAUUAUCGGAAUUCCAUUCCGACCCCUGAUUAAAAUCUUACCUAUUAACCAGAUUUCGCCAAAAAACAAACUUAUCCAAUUCAAGCCUAAUUCUACACCGGACCUCCAAAUUCAAUUCCGAUUGUGCUCCUAAGUCAAAAAUCAUCACCCGAAACUAGUCGAAUUAUCGGAAAUCCAUUCCGAGCCAUCUAACUCGUAAAUCAACAUUCGGUUGACUUUUCCAAACUAACCUUCUCAUAAAGAGACUAAUUGCCUCAUUUCUAACAGAACUCUAUCCGAAUUACUUCAAAUUCUCCAAACACAUAUAAUGAAACAAAUAGAAUCAUAAAACGGGGAAAAUGGGGCGGUAACUCACGUGACGACAGGUCGGGUUGUUACAUCCUCCUCAACUUAAACAAACGCUCAUCCUCGAGCGGGGUCAAGAAUCAUACCUGGAGUCUCAAAUAAGUGAGAAUUUUUGCUCCGCAUCUCCUGCUCGGUCUCCCAAGUGGCCUCCUCCACGGGCCGACCUCUACACUACAUCUUCACCGAAGUUAUGUCCUUUACUCUCAACUUUCGAACCUGACGAUCAGCUCCACAUCGUAGGUCAAGUCCUCAUCCAACUGGAUCAUGCUGAAGUCUAAUACAUGAGACGGGUCCCCAACGUACUUCCGGAGCAUAUAAACAUGGAACACAGAUGAACUCCCGACAUAGGAGAAACCUUCAACAAGACCUUCUCGCCCAACGCAUAAGACACAUAUCGAACCUUCCGGUCCGCAUAACUCGUCUGACGCGACUAAGCUGUACGAAGUCUCUCCUGGAUGACUUUCACCUUCUCUAAGGCAUCCUGAACUAAGUCUGUCCCCAAUAAUCUUAGCCUCCAUGUGCUCGAACCAACCAAUCAGAGACCUACACCGUCUUCCAUAUAAGUCCUCAUACGGUGCCAUCUGAAUGCUGGAUUGAUAGCUAUUAUUAUAGGCAAACUCCGCAAGUGGCAAGAACUCAGCCCAAGAACCUCCAAAAUCAAUAACACAGUAUGCAACAUGUCCUCCAAUAUCUGGAUAGUGCGCUCGGAUUGUUCGUCUGUCUGAGGAUGAAAUGUCGUGCUCAACUGUACCUGUGUGUCCAACUCCUAAUGAAAAGUCCUCCAAAACUAGGAAGUAAACUAAGUACCCCUAUCUAAUACAAUGGAAACCGGGACCCAUGCAACGUACAAUCUCCCGGAUAAAAAUCUCUGCUAACUUCUCCGCGGAAUAGUAGUACAUAUCCGAAAGAAGUGCGCGGACUUGGUCAGCCUAUCCACAAUCACCCAAAUCAAGUCAAACUUCUUCGGGGUACGAGGAAGACCACUCACAAAAUCCAUAGUAAUAUUCUCCCAUUUCCACUCCAGGAUAUCCAUCCGUUGGAAUACGCCACCAGGUCUCUAGUGCUCAUAUUUGACAUGAUGACAGUUGGGACACCGAGCCACAUAAUUCACAAUAUCCUUUUUCAUUCUCCUCCACCAGCAAUGCUAUCUCAAAUUCUGGAUCAUAUUCGCGACAGCCGGAUGAAUCGAAUAUCGCAAGAUGUGGGCCUCCUCUAAUAUCAACUACCGGAGCCCAUCCACAUUGGGCACGCAAAUCCGGCCUUGCAUCUGAAACACACCAUCAUUAUCCAAUGGUCACAUCUCUUGCAUCAUCAUGCUGGAUCCUGUCCUUCAGGACAAGAAAAUACGGGUCAUCAUAUAUCAUAGUUCUUGAGUUGCUCAAGCCAUCUCCGCUGUCUCAUAUUAAGAUCCUUCUGCUUAAACAAAUGCUGAAGACUGUGAUGGUCCGUAUAUACCUCCCAAGAUAUGCCAUAUAGAUAGUGCCUCCAAAUCUUUGAGGCAUGAACAAUAGCAGCCAUCUAAGUCAUGAACAGGGUAGUUCUUUCCACGGGGCUUUAACUGAAGAGAAGCAUAAGAAAUAACUCUACCCUUCUAUACCAAUACACAACUGAUCCCAACUCUCAAAGCGUCGCAAUACACCGUGUAAGAACCCGAAGCUGGUGGCAAUACUAGUACCGGAGCUGUGGUCAAAGACGAAUUGAGCUUCUGGAAGCUCUCGUUGCAUUUAUCCGACCACAAAAUGGAGCAUUCUUCUGCGUCAACUUCGUCAAAGGAGAAGCGAUAGAUGAAAAACCCUGAACAAACCUACGGUAAUAACACGCCAAACCAAGAAAACUCUGAAUCUCAGUAGCUGAGGGCGGUCUGGGCCAACUCUACACCGCCUCAAUCUUCUUUGGGUCAACCUGAAUACCAUCACUGGACACCACGUGUCCUAGAAAAGCCACAGUGCUAAGCCAGAACUCACACUUAGAGAACUUCGCAUAAAGCUUCUCCUCUCUCAAUCUAUGCCAUACCACCCUCAGGUGCUACGCGUGCUCCUCCUGGCUACGUGAUUACACCAAGAUAUUAUCAAUAAACAUGAUCACAAUAGUAUCCAGAUACGACCGAAAUACACUGUUCAUCAAGUGCAUGAACGCGGCUGGGGCAUUAGUCAGUCCGAAAGACAUCACUAGAAACUUGUAGUGCCCAUAUCUUGUCUUGAAAGUCGUCUUCAAAAUGUAUGAAUCCCUAAUAUCCAGCUGGUGAUAACUUGGUCGAAGGUCAAUCUAAUAGAAUACUUUUGCUUCCUGAAGCUGAUCAAACAAAUCCUCAAUACGGGGUAGUGGGUACUUGUACUGUCACCUUGUUCAGCUGUUUGUAAUCAAUGCACAUCCUCAUUGUGCCAUCCUUCUUCUUUACAAAUAACACCGGUGCACCCCAAGGUGACACACUCGGGUGAAUGAACCCUUAUCUAGGAGUUCCUGAAGUUGUUCCUUCAACUCCUUUAGCUCCGCCGGUGCCAUAGGAUAGUGAGGGAUAGAGAUAGGGUGGGUGCCCCGCACCAGAUCAAUACCGAAAUCAAUGUUCCUGUCCGGCGGCAUGCCCGGCAGGUCCGCUGGAAACACAUCGGGGAAAUCCCUCACAACGGGAACAGAAUCAAGACUAGGAGCCUCAUCUCUCACGAAAGCCAAGUAUGACAAACAACCGUUCCCGACCAUCCGUUGGGAUUUUAGGAAGGAAAUCACCCUGCUGCGUACAUAAUCAGUCACACCUCGCCACUCGAUCCUCGGAAUACCCGGAAUAGCCAACGUAACUGUUUUAGCAUGACAAUCCAGAAUAACAUGGUACAGAGAUAGCUAAUCCAUAAAUAGAAUCACGCCGAAAUCUACCAUGCCCAACAAUUACAAGUCAACUUGGGUCUUCAAACCCCCAAUAGUCACCAGACAAGAUCGAUAUACAUGAUCCACAAUAAUAGUAUCACCCACUAGGGUAGAUAUGUGCGCAGCAAAGUCAAGAAAACCAUGGGUCGUACCCAAAUAAUGAGCAACAUAUGAAGAUACAUAGGAAUAGGUAGAUCCGGGCUCAAAUAAGACAGAAGCAUCCCUGUGGAAGACUGAGAUAAUACCCAUGAUGAUUGUAUCUAAUGCAAUGGCGUCCCACCUAUCUGGUGUCACACCUCUUUUUUCACUAUUCACCCUCAAGGGACAUAAAGGAGUUUUCCACAAGGACAAUCGGAACAGGAUUUGGUUAUUGAUUAUUCAGAGUCGCCACUUGCGAGAUUAAUGGUGUCCCAAGUCACCGAUUUGAAUUUCUAACCGAGGAAAAAUAUGACUCUUUUAUAGUCUACGAACCAGAAAUCCGAGUAAGGAAUUCCGUUAACCCAGGAGUAGGUGUUAGGCCUUUCCGGGUUCCGUGGCUCUAGCACGGUCGCUUAACUGUUGUAUUUGAUUUUAUUUGAUUUUAAUCCAUGCUGGCUUAUGUGUUUUUUAAUCGUAAACCACUUUUUAUCAUUAUUUACUUUAAAAGAAUUGCGACGUCGUGAAAACACGUCUCUGACCAUGUCGCCAUCAAGGCACCCGUGUUCGUCAACACAUUUUGACUUCGUCGAGAUUUGUAUUUAGGUCGCAUCAAUGCGCACCCGAGUUUAAGAAGGUAAUUUAAUUAAAAUGUGUCUAAAGGUUCUAAUGUAACAUUAUUUUGAGCCGUUGAAAUUCACUAAACGACCCUUCUGAAUUCUAAUCAUUUUUAAUAACUAAUUAUUGAGGGCCCCACAUUAAUUUUUGUUCGGUGAUGCUGGUCUCAGUUUUUGAACCCUUUUCUAACCGUUAUUUAUUUUAUACGAAUUACGAUAUCGUGAAAACGCGUCUUGAAUCACGUCACAGUCAAUGAGCCCGUGAUUGUCAACACAUUUCGACUUCAUCGAGAUUUGGAUUUGGGUCACAUCAAUGUGCACCCGUACUUAGGAAGUUAAGAUUAUUUAAUGACGAGCCUAAAGCAACUAUCGCGUUGUUAACUUUGCGAGGGCCAUGAAAGUUCAACUAGAUGGCACACCUUGAUUUCUAAAGGCUUAAAAUUAAUCAAGUAAGGGCCAUGGAUUUUGAAAUUUUAUUUGGCAUGGCAUACCUCAAAUUGUUUAUGGAAAACACCAGCAGAAUAGAAUAAAAGGUUAUGGACACAUACAACAGGACUAAUAUUCAAUUUUUCUUUUCCAUACCAAUUAGCAAAUAUCACCAUCUAUUUCUAAAUCAUGCCAGCUCAAUACACAUAUCUCAUCUUAUACAUAAAUUAUGUUGAUAUGCAUCCAAUCUAAAAUUUUUUUUUAAAAAGAAUCAAAUGACACUUUAAACAGUUAGAACUAAAAGAACGAUAUCAAAGUUGCAACAUGAUUAUGCUUAAUCCAUCGUAGCCCGUAAUCGACAAAGAAGAGUCGACCACCGACGGAUCAAUUUUCAGCUCAAAAUACAACACCCAUUUUAAGUACUCAAAGACCGCAUUAACGAUUAUUACGGCUAUACUUCAAUAACGAACACGUCAAAGAGAAGGAGAAAGAAUCCAUAUCAAUUUCAGUCCUGAUUUCCAUACAUGAAAACUCAGCAACAUUAUAUAUUUCUCAAGUGCAAAAUUAGCUCAAAUAAAAUCACAUGGUUAAUUAGUAAUAUUAUACACAUGUUUUCAAGCUCGAAUUAUGACUUUAACAUUGAAUAAACUCCCAAAAGAUCUAAUAGGAAUUUCAUCAAACAGAUUUCAUACAAUAGAAACUCAACUAUAAAGCCAUCUCAGUUAUCACUCAAAUCAACUUUUUGAAUAAUCAAAUCACCAAAUGGAGGGGAAAAGAAAAAAAUGAUGUAUAUUAACUGAUAAGAAGUCACAAAGAAAGACAAAGAUGGUAGUUGACAAUUUUGAACCUUACAUAAAUCCAAUAAUGGUUCAUAGAGGUCCAGAAGUAGUAAAAUGAAAAGCCCAAGCAAUUGGUCAAUGAUUGAGAAACCUCCAUUUAAAGUUAAAUUUCUCCAUACAAAUGUGAGAAAAGUCGAAACAAAACGGUUAGCUAGUCUGCCCUGUUUAACUUGAAAUUCAAAAUAAGGUCAACAAUUACACACGAUAGAUAUAUGCGGUUAAAUCAAAUCAAAAGAUAAACAAAUUUGCCUUUUCAUAUAACAUCCAAACAAAAUAACAUGGGCAUGUAUACAUACCCGAUUGAGCUGAGAUAACAAAAUUGAGAGCCUAAUCCAUCCGAAAAUAGCCAUCUCCUCUAAUUGGAAUCAAACAAACAAUGCAAUGCCCAAAUGAAAACGAGAAUGCAACUGGUAAGGCUCAGCAACAUCAGAUCCAGCAGCGAGAGCAGAAUCGAGCGACCUCAAAAUGCAGCGAAAUCUCGAACGAGCCUAGACUCUUCUUGGGGGGAAUUAAGAUCUGAUUGGAGCUGGUUCAAGGACUCAUUUACAGCUGAGUUUUGUUGAACUAUUUACAUGAUUUUAGUGAGAAAAUUGGACCCUUUUGUGGAGAAAAAUACUUUUGCAUCUUUUUUCAGAGGAGAGCCCCCUGUACAAUUUUUUUCGCGUGUCUUCUUGUAGAGGAGAGGGUCUGCCCG
rnacentral:lncRNA from 1 species